GAGGAAUCUUGCGCAAUGGGGGCAACCCUGACGCAGCAACGCCGCGUGAGUGAGGAAGGCCUUCGGGUCGUAAAGCUCUGUCGGAUGGAAAGAAACGGAUGCGGGUUAAUAGCCUUCAUCCCUGACGGUACCAUCAGAGGAAGCACCGGCUAACUCCGUGCCAGCAGCCGCGGUAAUACGGGGGGUGCAAGCGUUGUUCGGAAUCAUUGGGCGUAAAGCGCGUGUAGGCGGCUUGGUAAGUCAGGUGUGAAAGCCCUGGGCUCAACCCAGGAAGUGCACUUGAAACUGCCUUGCUUGAGUACGGGAGAGGAAAGCGGAAUUCCUGGUGUAGAGGUGAAAUUCGUAGAUAUCAGGAGGAACACCGGUGGCGAAGGCGGCUUUCUGGCCCAAUACUGACGCUGAGGCGCGAAAGCGUGGGGAGCAAACA
rnacentral:rRNA from 1 species